rnacentral:rRNA from 1 species
GAUGAACGCUGGCGACGUGCCUAAUACAUGCAAGUCGAGCGAACGGACGAGAAGCUUGCUUCUCUGAUGUUAGCGGCGGACGGGUGAGUAACACGUGGAUAACCUACCUAUAAGACUGGGAUAACUUCGGGAAACCGGAGCUAAUACCGGAUAAUAUUUUGAACCGCAUGGUUCAAAAGUGAAAGACGGUCUUGCUGUCACUUAUAGAUGGAUCCGCGCUGCAUUAGCUAGUUGGUAAGGUAACGGCUUACCAAGGCAACGAUGCAUAGCCGACCUGAGAGGGUGAUCGGCCACACUGGAACUAAGACACGGUCCAGACUCCUACGGGAGGCAGCAGUAGGGAAUCUUCCGCAAUGGGCGAAAGCCUGACGGAGCAACGCCGCGUGAGUGAUGAAGGUCUUCGGAUCGUAAAACUCUGUUAUUAGGGAAGAACAUAUGUGUAAGUAACUGUGCACAUCUUGACGGUACCUAAUCAGAAAGCCACGGCUAACUACGUG